UAGGGAAUCUUCGGCAAUGGACGAAAGUCUGACCGAGCAACGCCGCGUGAGUGAAGAAGGUUUUCGGAUCGUAAAACUCUGUUGUUAGAGAAGAACAAGGACGUUAGUAACUGAACGUCCCCUGACGGUAUCUAACCAGAAAGCCACGGCUAACUACGUGCCAGCAGCCGCGGUAAUACGUAAGUGGCAAGCGUUGUCCGGAUUUAUUGGGCGUAAAGCGAGCGCAGGCGGUUUCUUAAGUCUGAUGUGAAAGCCCCCGGCUCAACCGGGGAGGGUCAUUGGAAACUGGGAGACUUGAGUGCAGAAGAGGAGAGUGGAAUUCCAUGUGUAGCGGUGAAAUGCGUAGAUAUAUGGAGGAACACCAGUGGCGAAGGCGGCUCUCUGGUCUGUAACUGACGCUGAGGCUCGAAAGCGUGGGGAGCAAACAGG
rnacentral:rRNA from 1 species